rnacentral:rRNA from 1 species
AACGCUGGCGGCGUGCCUAAUACAUGCAAGUCGAACGAGUUCUGAUUAUUGAAAGGUGCUUGCAUCUUGAUUUUAAUUUUGAACGAGUGGCGGACGGGUGAGUAACACGUGGGUAACCUGCCCUUAAGUGGGGGAUAACAUUUGGAAACAGAUGCUAAUACCGCAUAAAUCCAAGAACCGCAUGGUUCUUGGCUGAAAGAUGGCGUAAGCUAUCGCUUUUGGAUGGACCCGCGGCGUAUUAGCUAGUUGGUGAGGUAACGGCUCACCAAGGCAAUGAUACGUAGCCGAACUGAGAGGUUGAUCGGCCACAUUGGGACUGAGACACGGCCCAAACUCCUACGGGAGGCAGCGGUAGGGAAUCUUCCACAAUGGACGCAAGUCUGAUGGAGCAACGCCGCGUGAGUGAAGAAGGCUUUCGGGUCGUAAAACUCUGUUGUUGGAGAAGAAUGGUCGGCAGAGUAACUGUUGUCGGCGUGACGGUAUCCAACCAGAAAGCCACGGCUAACUACGUGCCAGCAGCCGCGGUAAUACGUAGGUGGCAAGCGUUAUCCGGAUUUAUUGGGCGUAAAGCGAGCGCAGGCGGUUUUUUAAGUCUGAUGUGAAAGCCCUCGGCUUAACCGAGGAAGUGCAUCGGAAACUGGGAAACUUGAGUGCAGAAGAGGACAGUGGAACUCCAUGUGUAGCGGUGAAAUGCGUAGAUAUAUGGAAGAACACCAGUGGCGAAGGCGGCUGUCUGGUCUGUAACUGACGCUGAGGCUCGAAAGCAUGGGUAGCGAACAGGAUUAGAUACCCUGGUAGUCCAUGCCGUAAACGAUGAAUGCUAGGUGUUGGAGGGUUUCCGCCCUUCAGUGCCGCAGCUAACGCAUUAAGCAUUCCGCCUGGGGAGUACGACCGCAAGGUUGAAACUCAAAGGAAUUGACGGGGGCCCGCACAAGCGGUGGAGCAUGUGGUUUAAUUCGAAGCAACGCGAAGAACCUUACCAGGUCUUGACAUCUUUUGAUCACCUGAGAGAUCAGGUUUCCCCUUCGGGGGCAAAAUGACAGGUGGUGCAUGGUUGUCGUCAGCUCGUGUCGUGAGAUGUUGGGUUAAGUCCCGCAACGAGCGCAACCCUUAUGACUAGUUGCCAGCAUUUAGUUGGGCACUCUAGUAAGACUGCCGGUGACAAACCGGAGGAAGGUGGGGAUGACGUCAAAUCAUCAUGCCCCUUAUGACCUGGGCUACACACGUGCUACAAUGGAUGGUACAACGAGUUGCGAGACCGCGAGGUCAAGCUAAUCUCUUAAAGCCAUUCUCAGUUCGGACUGUAGGCUGCAACUCGCCUACACGAAGUCGGAAUCGCUAGUAAUCGCGGAUCAGCACGCCGCGGUGAAUACGUUCCCGGGCCUUGUACACACCGCCCGUCACACCAUGAGAGUUUGUAACACCCGAAGCCGGUGGCGUAACCCUUUUAGGGAGCGAGCCGUCUAAGGUGGGACAAAUGAUUAGGGUGAAG